rnacentral:tRNA from 3 species
GGCCCCAUAGCUCAACGGAUAGAGCGCUCCUCCCCUAAAGGAGAUAUCCGGUUUCGAUUACCGGUGGGGCUACUA